UUUAAAUGUGAGACAUGAAUAGAAAAACAUUAAUGCGGUGUGAGUUGAAGAGUAAACCUCUUGGUGUAUCGUCUGUGUAAACAGGAGAAUUUCGGCUUGGUGUCUGCGUGUAUGGUAACCAGUAAAUGGUGCCAGCAGUCACGAGUCUACAGACACUUGCUCGCAUAAUAGCGAGUAGUGAUUCUGCAUGGGUUUGCAGUAAUGAGUAACAUCGAGGAGAGUGCACAGCUAUUAGUCAUUCAUGCCGUUUAACUUUACUGUUACGGGGUAUAUAGCUUUUACUCAUUUAGGCUGGUGUCUAAAGAAAUGAGGAUUGCCUUCAUCGGUCACUAGCCACUGUUUUUCCUGGGUUUUUCAUCUUGUUUUACUUUGUAUUUCUCCGUGUGUGUGUCUUGGGGAUCUGCUACCACUGUUCUUUGAUGACCUGGACCUAGGUGGGCCUAGGAGGGAGUCCGGCUAGUGGUAGCUUGUUAAUUUAGAUGUUUUUG